rnacentral:rRNA from 1 species
UACGGAGGGUGCAAGCGUUAUCCGGAUUCACUGGGUUUAAAGGGUGCGUAGGCGGAUAGGUAAGUCCGUGGUGAAAUCCUGCAGCUUAACUGCAGAACUGCCAUGGAUACUAUUUAUCUUGAAUAUCGUGGAGGUUAGCGGAAUAUGUCAUGUAGCGGUGAAAUGCUUAGAUAUGACAUAGAACACCCAUUGCGAAGGCAGCUAACUACGCGAUCAUUGACGCUGAUGCACGAAAGCGUGGGGAGCAAACGGG